AUACGUAGGGUGCAAGCGUUGUCCGGAAUUAUUGGGCGUAAAGAGCUCGUAGGCGGUCUGUCGCGUCUGCUGUGAAAACCUAGGGCUUAACCCUGGGCCUGCAGUGGGUACGGGCAGACUAGAGUGCGGUAGGGGAGACUGGAAUUCCUGGUGUAGCGGUGAAAUGCGCAGAUAUCAGGAGGAACACCGGUGGCGAAGGCGGGUCUCUGGGCCGUAACUGACGCUGAGGAGCGAAAGCAUGGGUAGCGAACAGGAUUAGAUACCCUGGUAGUCCAUGCCGUAAACGUUGGGCGCUAGGUGUGGGGCUCAUUCCACGAGUUCUGUGCCGCAGCAAACGCAUUAAGCGCCCCGCCUGGGGAGUACGGCCGCAAGGCUAAA
rnacentral:rRNA from 1 species